rnacentral:rRNA from 1 species
UACGAAGGGGACUAGCGUUGCUCGGAAUCACUGGGCGUAAAGCGCACGUAGGCGGCUUUUUAAGUCAGGGGUGAAAUCCUGGAGCUCAACUCCAGAACUGCCUUUGAUACUGAGAGGCUUGAGUCCGGGAGAGGUGAGUGGAAACUGCGAGUGUAGAGGUGAAAUUCGUAGAUAUUCGCAAGAACACCAGUGGCGAAGGCGGCUCACUGGCCCGGUACUGACGCUGAGGUGCGAAAGCGUGGGGAGCAAACAGG